rnacentral:rRNA from 1 species
CAGCAGCCACGGUAAUACGGAGGGUGCAAGCGUUAAUCGGAAUUACUGGGCGUAAAGCGCACGCAGGCGGUCUGUCAAGUCAGAUGUGAAAUCCCCGGGCUUAACCUGGGAACUGCAUUUGAAACUGGCAGGCUAGAGUCUUGUAGAGGGGGGUAGAAUUCCAGGUGUAGCGGUGAAAUGCGUAGAGAUCUGGAGGAAUACCGGUGGCGAAGGCGGCCCCCUGGACAAAGACUGACGCUCAGGUGCGAAAGCGUGGGGAGCAAACAGGAUUAGAUACCCGGGUAGUCCCUGUCUCUUAUAA